CAGUAGCCGCGGGAAUACGUAGGGCGCGAGCGUUGUCCGGAAUUAUUGGGCGUAAAGGGCUCGUAGGCGGCUUGUCGCGUCUGCUGUGAAAAUGCGGGGCUUAACUCCGUACGUGCAGUGGGUACGGGCAGGCUAGAGUGCGGUAGGGGUGACUGGAAUUCCUGGUGUAGCGGUGGAAUGCGCAGAUAUCAGGAGGAACACCGAUGGCGAAGGCAGGUCACUGGGCUGUUACUGACGCUGAGGAGCGAAAGCGUGGGGAGCGAACAGGAUUAGAUACCCCGGUAGUCCCUGUCUCUUAUAC
rnacentral:rRNA from 1 species